GACAGAGGCCUCGAGCGUUAGGCGGAAUCACUGGGUUUAAAGGGUGCGUAGGCGGCGCGGUAAGUCGGGUGUGAAAUCUCGGAGCUUAACUCCGAAACUGCAUUCGAUACUGCCGUGCUUGAGGACUGGAGAGGAGACUGGAAUUUACGGUGUAGCGGUGAAAUGCGUAGAUAUCGUAAGGAAGACCAGUGGCGAAGGCGGGUCUCUGGACAGUUCCUGACGCUGAGGCACGAAGGCCAGGGGAGCAAACGGG
rnacentral:rRNA from 1 species